UUGAACGCUGGCGGCAGGCCUAACACAUGCAAGUCGAACGGUAACAGGAUGUAUCUUGCUUCUUUGCUGACGAGUGGUGGUCGGGUGAGUAAUGUUGGGGAAACUGCCGUAUGUAGGGGGAUAACUACUGGAAACGGUAGCUAAUACCGCAUAACGUGUCAUGACCAAAGAGGGGGACCUUCGGGCGUCUGUUUGUUCGCGGUGCCCAGAUGGGAUUAGCUAGUAGGUGGGGUAACGGCUCACCUAGGCGACGAUCCCUAGCUGGUCUGAGAGGAUGACCAGCCACACUGGAACUGAGACACGGUCCAGACUCCUACGGGAGCACGCAGUGGGCACACUUGCACAAUGGGCGCAAGCCUGAUGCAGCCAUGCCGCGUGUAAGAAGAAGGAAUUCGGGUUGUAAAGUACUUUCAGCGGGGAGGAAAAAAAAAAAGUUAAUACCUUUGCUCAUUGACGUUACCCGCAGAAGAAGCACCGGCUAACUCCGUG
rnacentral:rRNA from 1 species